UACGUAGGUGGCAAGCGUUGUCCGGAAUUAUUGGGCGUAAAGAGCUCGUAGGCGGUUUGUCGCGUCUGCUGUGAAAACCUCAGGCUCAACCUGGGGCUUGCAGUGGGUACGGGCAGACUAGAGUGCGGUAGGGGUGACUGGAAUUCCUGGUGUAGCGGUGGAAUGCGCAGAUAUCAGGAGGAACACCGAUGGCGAAGGCAGGUCACUGGGCCGCAACUGACGCUGAGGAGCGAAAGCAUGGGGAGCGAACAGG
rnacentral:rRNA from 1 species